rnacentral:rRNA from 1 species
GAGUAACACGUGGGUAACCUGCCCAGAAGCAGGGGAUAACACCUGGAAACAGAUGCUAAUACCGUAUAACAGAGAAAACCGCCUGGUUUUCUUUUAAAAGAUGGCUCUGCUAUCACUUCUGGAUGGACCCGCGGCGCAUUAGCUAGUUGGUGAGGUAACGGCUCACCAAGGCGAUGAUGCGUAGCCGACCUGAGAGGGUAAUCGGCCACAUUGGGACUGAGACACGGCCCAGACUCCUACGGGAGGCAGCAGUAGGGAAUCUUCCACAGUGGACGCAAGUCUGAUGGAGCAACGCCGCGUGAGUGAAGAAGGGUUUCGGCUCGUAAAGCUCUGUUGUAAAAAAAAAACGUGGGUGAGAGUAACUGUUCACCCAGUGACGGUAUUUAACCAGAAAGCCACGGCUAACUACGUGCCAGCAGCCGCGGUAAUACGUAGGUGGCAAGCGUUAUCCGGAUUUAUUGGGCGUAAAGCGAGCGCAGGCGGUCUUUUAAGUCUAAUGUGAAAGCCUUCGGCUCCACCGAAGAAGUGCAUUGGAAAGUGAGACACUUGAGUGCAAAAGAGGAUAUGGGAACUCCUGUGUGUAGGGGGUGAAAUGCGUAUA